rnacentral:rRNA from 1 species
UGGGGAAUAUUGGGCAAUGGGCGCAAGCCUGACCCAGCAACGCCGCGUGAAGGAAGAAGGCUUUCGGGUUGUAAACUUCUUUUAAGAGGGAAGAGCAGAAGACGGUACCUCUAGAAUAAGCCACGGCUAACUACGUGCCAGCAGCCGCGGUAAUACGUAGGUGGCAAGCGUUGUCCGGAUUUACUGGGUGUAAAGGGCGUGCAGCCGGGUCUGCAAGUCAGAUGUGAAAUCCAUGGGCUCAACCCAUGAACUGCAUUUGAAACUGUAGAUCUUGAGUGUCGGAGGGGCAAUCGGAAUUCCUAGUGUAGCGGUAGAAUGCGUAGAGAUUAGGAGGAACAUCAGAGGCGAAGGCGGCUUACUGGACCAUAACUGACGCUGAGGCUCGAAAGCGUGGGGAG